rnacentral:lncRNA from 1 species
CUGCAAAAGAUUUCUUGGGCCAUUUCAGGGACAACCCUGGCUAUAUAAUGCGUUAUUUCCAUUUAAACAAGUUUCUCCUAGGAACCCAAAAGCUUAAAUCCAAAGAAGAACUUUUUUUGUUUUUUGGUCUUUUUAGGUCGCAUCUGUGGCAUAUGGAGUUUCCUGGGCUAGGUGUCGAAUCAGAGCUACAGCUGCUGGCCUACACCACAGCUCACGGCAACGCUGGAUCCUUAACCCACUGAGCGAGGCCAGGGAUCAAACCCGCAACCUCAUGGUUCCUAGUCGGAUUCAUUAACCACUGAGCCACGAUGGGAACUCUUUUUUUUUUUUUUUUCAAAGAAGAACUUCUAAUGGUGAGGUUUUUAGGCAUAAAGCCAGACUAGCAGGGAUGGCCUAUUUGAGUGGGGAAGAGACAAAGCCUGAGACUUUGGAAUUCCAUGUCUCAGGUAGAAACAAAGUUUCAGGCCUUCACUCAUUGCACUUAGCUACCAUUACUGAGAUGUGUGCUGGUACAUGUUGAAAACUGUUUUCUGGCUUGGGUGUUGGAACACCUGAGUUCCAGUUCCAGGCUACUGCUGUGAUAUUAGGAGAGUCUGGGUCUGAGUUUCUCAUCUGUGAAAUGAAUGUGAGGGAUUAGGUCAUCGGCAAAGUUCCUUCAGCUAUGACUCCACAACUUUCCGAUAUGGGGUUUUGUAGGACUUGAUUUAAACAUGGUAGGUGGGAGAUUAUCAAAUGGUACUGAGAGAAGGAGGAUGAGUGCACAUGAAAUGCCAGGGUAAACCUGAUCACUUUGUUGUCUCUGUGAAAGGCAACUCUGGAGGCACUCCUUCCCUAAGCGGCUCUCAUUUGUGUAAUUUCCAUGGCUGAAGUAUCUACACUGCCUGCUAACACUUUCAAUUAAGUUAAAUGACUUCAUGUUCUGUUAAGUUGGGGCUGGCUAGGAAUUUCAUGACUUUCCCCCUGACUUCAUUACAAUAAUGCUUAGCACUAGGUUCACAUGGGUGAUGUCUACUCGACAGUAUUUUCAUAAUUGUACAGCUAUCAUCAAAUUAUGUUGAUUCAUGGCUGGAUGAGAAAUGACAGUGAAUAGCAUAAUUGUGAAACUUCAUAAGGCACUGACGUUUGUGCUGAAAGCACAGAAAAAUUCAGCAAGUAUUAUAGCUGUUACAGUGGGAGUGCAAUUGUGAAGACUUCAUGGGCAAGUUCACGGAAUCAGAUGUAAUUAAGCAUGAAUUAAACAUGAUGAGCUACAGGGCUAAUUUGAGAAGUGCCGAAACUACAUUAUGGAAAUCCUCUUCAGAAAAUAUGACCAGCUCCUUUUUAAACAUAUGUCAGAUGCCUAACAUAUGGUCUCCGAAGGCCUGCAGCGUACCUUGGGUGAUCCAGGGCAGUCAGCAUAUGCUUGGCGCCGUGGAAGGUCUAGUUCAUCAAGCCAAGAAGCCAGGGAACAUGAUGGGAAAUCAACCCAGGCUUGUCAGAAUCUCUCUUCUCCUUCAGAACAAGUACUAUAAAUUUCAGGAAAAGUUGGAGCCUUUUGUAGGGUACAGUGCUGUGUGCUGACAUCUCAACAACUCAUGAGUGUAGGUGAAUGCCUACUUACAGUCAGUUUACAUGGAUAAUAACAAAGUAAAGAGUCAAUUUCAUAAGCCGCCCUCACUAAUGCAGUCUAUUGACAGAGCUAUACCUUGCACAGGUUAGGGGAUGGAGACAGCAUCCUUCUGUCUAGCUCUUAUCCCUUGAACUCUCUUGCAUGCCCUCCUCCAGUCUCCUUUGUAACCUUCCCUCAACCUCAAAGAGAAAAAGUAAGAUGCCAGGAGUCAGAAGGGCAGAAUUGCAUGUUGCAACCUUCUCUUGAGAGGGGGUGGGGGAUGGGGUGGAGGUGUGACACCAUGCUUUCAGUGUCGCCUUCCUUAUAUGUAAAACUGGGAUAAUUAUAUUACAUUUCCUACCUCACCAGGGCUCCUAAGUGAAUGUGAUGUGAUGGAUGUCAGAGUCUUUCCUCUCUGUCUGUCUAUGUUUAUAUCUGUAUCACCUACAUAGAAGAUACACUUCUGGUUGGCUCGGCUUUCUGGUCCUAUUCCCAGUGGCCUAUGGGAGAUGAUGAUCAAAGUUAUGAAAAUAACAACAUCGCCGUGUGUGAUUGGAUCAUUUUGAUGUACAACAGAGGUUGAAGAAACAUGGUAAAUCAACUAUACUUUAAUAAAAGAAAACAUCAAAGAUGACCAUUUACUGUAUUUGCUCUGUGCCAGGCACCACACUAAACACCUUAUGUUUGCUUUUAUAUUUAUAUAGAGAAUUGAAUUUUAUAAAAUGAUCCUUUCUGAAUCCUAGAAUCAUAAAGUGUAAGAAGACUCAAAAUGUCUAAAUGUAAUGGCUAUUUUCUCCUUAAAAUAAUGUGGUUUUCUGGCUAUCAUUAUGAAGUAAAUGUGUCUCACCUUCAUUGCCAGUGGUUUGUGGUCUUUGUGUUGAACUCGUGGCUGCUUCCAGUCCCAGUGAAAGGUUUUGGCAGGACAUUAAGUAUAUUGCUAUCAUAUCUCGUUGUACAAAGGAAUUUUCCUCCAUCCAGCCCUUUAUUGUUUUCCCCCAAAUUCAGGUGCACAGAAUGACCUUCUUUCAGUUUUAAAGAGAUAAGUUUGCAACUUGAGAAGCUCACUGCCCACAAAUGGUGGAGGAGACUAAUGACAUCAACAACUUGCAGGCCUGGUUUAGAUAAAUAACAAUGACAGAUCAUUAAUGGAAGUUCAGGCAUGUCUUGGAGGUUGAUAUGAAAGAGCACAGAGUCAUCCUUUUGCUGCAUAAAUUUCAGUGCCUCCAACAGAGACAGGAUCCGCCACUUGUGACCCUGCAAAACAAUUGUGUUUUCACGUAAAAUCUUCCUUAAAGUUGAAAGGGUUAGAAGUCUCUCUUGGCAAGCUCAUGAAAUAUAGGUGGAGAGGAGAAGAAACUGUUUAUCAGCAUCUUCAUUGUCAUCAUUUGAUCAUCUUCUCACCAUCAGUUACCCAGGGAACAUCUGUUAGGACUUGAGUUUCUACUGCAUGCAGUAUGGUCCUUGCCCUGGAUGUGUCCAUAUGCAAAGAUUUCAAACAAGUGAACAAGCAAGAGAGAAUGUGCAGAUGAAUCAUUC